rnacentral:rRNA from 1 species
ACUAAGCGUACACGGUGGAUGCCCUGGCAGUCAGAGGCGAUGAAGGGCGUGCUAAUCUGCGAUAAGCGCCGGUAAGGUGAUAUGAACCGUUAUAACCGGCGAUACCCGAAUGGGGAAACCCAGUGUGAUUCGUCACACUAUCAUUAACUGAAUCCAUAGGUUAAUGAGGCGAACCGGGGGAACUGAAACAUCUAAGUACCCCGAGGAAAAGAAAUCAACCGAGAUUCCCCCAGUAGCGGCGAGCGAACGGGGAGGAGCCCAGAGCCUGAAUCAGCAUGUGUGUUAGUGGAAGCGUCUGGAAAGACGCGCGAUACAGGGUGACAGCCCCGUACACAAAAGCGCAUGUGCUGUGAGCUCGAUGAGUAGGGCGGGACACGUGGUAUCCUGUCUGAAUAUGGGGGGACCAUCCUCCAAGGCUAAAUACUCCUGACUGACCGAUAGUGAACCAGUACCGUGAGGGAAAGGCGAAAAGAACCCCGGCGAGGGGAGUGAAAAAGAACCUGAAACCGUGUACGUACAAGCAGUGGGAGCCCCACCACUAAGCCAGUGGUGAACUCCACAUACGCAUCCUUUGCUGAGGAUACGGUUAAGGGAGCGAAAGCGACGUUCAACCGCAAAACAAGCAGAGGGGGCUUAGUGGUGGGGUGACUGCGUACCUUUUGUAUAAUGGGUCAGCGACUUAUAUUCUGUAGCAAGGUUAACCGCAUAGGGGAGCCGGAGGGAAACCGAGUCUUAAUUGGGCGUUAAGUUGCAGGGUAUAGACCCGAAACCCGGUGAUCUAGCCAUGGGCAGGUUGAAGGUUGGGUAACACUAACUGGAGGACCGAACCGACUAAUGUUGAAAAAUUAGCGGAUGACCUGUGGCUGGGGGUGAAAGGCCAAUCAAACCGGGAGAUAGCUGGUUCUCCCCGAAAGCUAUUUAGGUAGCGCCUCGUGAAUUCAUCUCCGGGGGUAGAGCACUGUUUCGGCUAGGGGGCCAUCCCGGCUUACCAACCCGAUGCAAACUGCGAAUACCGGAGAAUGUUAUCACGGGAGACACACGGCGGGUGCUAACGUCCGUCGUGAAGAGGGAAACAACCCAGACCGCCAGCUAAGGUCCCAAAGUCAUGGUUAAGUGGGAAACGAUGUGGGAAGGCCCAGACAGCCAGGAUGUUGGCUUAGAAGCAGCCAUCAUUUAAAGAAAGCGUAAUAGCUCACUGGUCGAGUCGGCCUGCGCGGAAGAUGUAACGGGGCUAAACCAUGCACCGAAGCUGCGGCAGCGAACGUAUCACUUAAAGCGAUUCAGCGGGUUACGAUUGACGGAGCGAAGCGACGUCGAAGCGUAUACAAAGUCGAGUCGGUUUAAGGAUACGUUCUGCGUUGUUGGGUAGGGGAGCGUUCUGUAAGCCUGCGAAGGUGGCCUGUGAGGGUUGCUGGAGGUAUCAGAAGUGCGAAUGCUGACAUAAGUAACGAUAAAGCGGGUGAAAAGCCCGCUCGCCGGAAGACCAAGGGUUCCUGUCCAACGUUAAUCGGGGCAGGGUGAGUCGACCCCUAAGGCGAGGCCGAAAGGCGUAGUCGAUGGGAAACGGGUUAAUAUUCCCGUACUUGGUGUUACUGCGAAGGGGGGACGGAGAAGGCUAUGUUGGCCGGGCGACGGUUGUCCCGGUUUAAGCGUGUAGGUGUGUGUUCCAGGUAAAUCCGGUUCACUUUAACACUGAGGCGUGACGACGAGGCACUACGGUGCUGAAGCAACAAAUGCCCUGCUUCCAGGAAAAGCCUCUAAGCAUCAGGUAACAUCAAAUCGUACCCCAAACCGACACAGGUGGUCAGGUAGAGAAUACCAAGGCGCUUGAGAGAACUCGGGUGAAGGAACUAGGCAAAAUGGUGCCGUAACUUCGGGAGAAGGCACGCUGACACGUAGGUGAAGUGAUUUACUCAUGGAGCUGAAGUCAGUCGAAGAUACCAGCUGGCUGCAACUGUUUAUUAAAAACACAGCACUGUGCAAACACGAAAGUGGACGUAUACGGUGUGACGCCUGCCCGGUGCCGGAAGGUUAAUUGAUGGGGUCAGCGCAAGCGAAGCUCCUGAUCGAAGCCCCGGUAAACGGCGGCCGUAACUAUAACGGUCCUAAGGUAGCGAAAUUCCUUGUCGGGUAAGUUCCGACCUGCACGAAUGGCGUAAUGAUGGCCAGGCUGUCUCCACCCGAGACUCAGUGAAAUUGAACUCGCUGUGAAGAUGCAGUGUACCCGCGGCAAGACGGAAAGACCCCGUGAACCUUUACUAUAGCUUGACACUGAACAUUGAGCCUUGAUGUGUAGGAUAGGUGGGAGGCUUUGAAGUGUGGACGCCAGUCUGCAUGGAGCCGACCUUGAAAUACCACCCUUUAAUGUUUGAUGUUCUAACGUGGACCCGUAAUCCGGGUUGCGGACAGUGUCUGGUGGGUAGUUUGACUGGGGCGGUCUCCUCCUAAAGAGUAACGGAGGAGCACGAAGGUUGGCUAAUCCUGGUCGGACAUCAGGAGGUUAGUGCAAUGGCAUAAGCCAGCUUGACUGCGAGCGUGACGGCGCGAGCAGGUGCGAAAGCAGGUCAUAGUGAUCCGGUGGUUCUGAAUGGAAGGGCCAUCGCUCAACGGAUAAAAGGUACUCCGGGGAUAACAGGCUGAUACCGCCCAAGAGUUCAUAUCGACGGCGGUGUUUGGCACCUCGAUGUCGGCUCAUCACAUCCUGGGGCUGAAGUAGGUCCCAAGGGUAUGGCUGUUCGCCAUUUAAAGUGGUACGCGAGCUGGGUUUAGAACGUCGUGAGACAGUUCGGUCCCUAUCUGCCGUGGGCGCUGGAGAACUGAGGGGGGCUGCUCCUAGUACGAGAGGACCGGAGUGGACGCAUCACUGGUGUUCGGGUUGUCAUGCCAAUGGCACUGCCCGGUAGCUAAAUGCGGAAGAGAUAAGUGCUGAAAGCAUCUAAGCACGAAACUUGCCCCGAGAUGAGUUCUCCCUGAGACUUAGAGUCUCCUGAAGGAACGUUGAAGACGACGACGUUGAUAGGCCGGGUGUGUAAGCGCAGCGAUGCGUUGAGCUAACCGGUACUAAUGAACCGUGAGGCUUAACC